CUGCACACAUGACAUAACUGAUGAUUGUAGGCUGGAGCUUUUUUAUAUUUUUUUGCACCAAACACACUAUUUCUUUCCUUAUCUAACCCACACUACAUGUUAAUUCUUUAGUAUUUAUUCUACAAUAGCCAACUGAUCUAUUGUUUUGUGCCUAUUAUGUAAGACUCCUGAAAUGUUAGGACAGUACUAUGUUUCUGAUCAAAAUAAAUUAAGAAUGUAUCAUGUAGCCCAGUAUAAUCAUGUUGUGAUUGUAAAAGCAAGCAUUCCUAUGAUUCAGCAAAUGUGGGGAACAUCAUAAACUGCUAAUCAUGUUUGCACCAUGGCUACCUAAGGAAUAAUAUUGUGUGUAAAAUAGAAAUGAUAGUGAGGACAAUAUGCAUGAUCUAUUCUGGUAUAUCCUUAAAACCCAUACACCCUGUCUGUUGCACUUAAAUGUUAAGAGAAUUCUCCCUAAAGCUAGGUGCUCUUAAGAGACCUCUUUGGGUAAGGAAGGGAAACUCCCUUGUAAUAGCUGGUAUAAUAAUGCAAAAUAAAAAGUGUGUGUGUAGGUCUGAACCUCUUGACAGCUUUUCACAAAAUCAGUCAUAGUGAAUUCAGUAUGAACAUUUGCAAUAUGGCAGUCUAAAGCAGAAUAGAAUAGUUGUAAAGAAAAUUGUAUACCUAUCAAGUUGGACACUGUCUUUCUCUUUGCAUUCUGUGACUAUAUGGUAUUGGGCCUUCCUCUAAACUGGCCCUUGGGACCCUGAUACUAAUCAUGUAACUGACUGGUAGAGGGCUAAAGGGCAGUGCCAAUGAUGUAUGGGUACAGAUGGCACAGCUAUGCCCAGCCUAAGCACUGCACAUAGCUGGUUUGUCUUAUGUUUAUCUGAAUAUUGAUGUUCUGUCAGCUCUCUUUCACAUAUUGCCUCAUUUGUUUUGUCUGUGCUGUACUGUGAUUUUUUUUUUUUUUUUUUAGUAUUAGCAUUACAACAUACUAUUACUCUAUCCACUGUAAUUCAAAUUUCAGAGUGACAAAUAAAAUUACAGUUAAGUGAGUAAUUUAGGAAAUUUGUGAUGAAUGUUUUGUGAUGCACUGAAUUAUGUUAAAUGAAUUUUAUGUUUUGUUUUUGUAAUAAGGG
ensembl:lncRNA